rnacentral:rRNA from 1 species
GUGCUUAACUGCAUUUUUUCUUACACAUGUGUUUUUCUUUUUUUGAAAACUUUGCUUUGGUAGGCCUUCUAUAUGGGGCCUGCCAGAGAUUAAACUCAACCAAAUUUUAUUUAAUGUCAACCGAUUAUUUAAUAGUCAAAACUUUCAACAACGGAUCUCUUGGUUCUCGCAUCGAUGAAGAACGCAGCGAAAUGCGAUAAGUAAUAUGAAUUGCAGAUAUUCGUGAAUCAUCGAAUCUUUGAACGCACAUUGCGCCCUUUGGUAUUCCAAAGGGCAUGCCUGUUUGAGCGUCAUUUCUCCCUCAAACCCUCGGGUUUGGUGUUGAGCGAUACGCUGGGUUUGCUUGAAAGAAAGGCGGAGUAUAAACUAAUGGAUAGGUUUUUUCCACUCAUUGGUACAAACUCCAAAACUUCUUCCAAAUUCGACCUCAAAUCAGGUAGGACUACCCGCUGAACUUAAGCAUAUCAAUAAGCGGAGGAA